UCCAGUGCUCCUAUGACUUUCUGUUGAAUUGUGUAAUUCUGAAAUUUUAUUGUUAAUUAUCUGAAUUCCUGUUUGCUGUGUCUCUAUGGAUUCUUGUAGCCUAUUAAACCUGUCAUUAUGCUUUUGUCUAAUCUUCUGAAGUUCCUGUAAUUCUUUGUCUGUUUGUUUCUUGGCUUGUUCUGCAUUUUUCCUGACCUCCUUCCUUAUCUCUUGAAGAGCUCUGUAUAUUAAUCUUUUAUAUUCUACCACUGGUUAUUUAAGGAAGUUAUCUUCAUCUGGAAGACUUCUUGAUUCUUUGUUUUGGGAGCUUGCUGAAGCCAUCGUGAUCUGCCUCUUUAUGCUGCUCGAGUGAGCUAAUUUGAUUAUUGGUGCAUUUGAAGAUCUGACAUCCUGUCACCAGGAGGUUAGAGCCGUUACUAGAAUGACUGUGGUCAAGGAAACCCAGUAAAGAGGAAAAUGGGAGCUGCUCACAUCAAGUUCUGAAGUCACCUGUUUGCCAAGAGAUGUGACUUGGCUAUUUCUUUUUUUGGAGUCCUGGUGGAGCAGUGGUUAAGAGCUCGGCGGUAACCAAAAAGGUCAGCAGUUCAAAUCCACCAGGUGCUCCUUGGAAAUCCUAUGGGGCAGUUCUACUCUGUCCUAUAGGGUCACUUUGAGUCAGAAUCCACCUGAUGGCAACGGGAAAACGGGAAUUCAUUUUUCUGGUGUGAGAGAUAAGCUAUAGAGGAUAACUGUGCCUUGCCCAAUAUCACUUGGUAACUCUGAAGCUCUGUGCCUCUCAUGAAAAGCAACAAGGUGUGUGUGUAUGUGUAGGGGAGCCAGCAGGUAACAGCUGUCAUUGAUAUCACUGCAAAGUGUUUAACCCAAUACCCUCUUGUCAUGGAUUGAAUUAUGUACCCCCCAAAAAAUGUGUGUAUCAAUUUGGUUAGGCCAGGAUUCCCAGUAUUCUGUGGUUGUUCUCCAUUUUGUGAUUGUAACUUUAUGUUGAAAGGAUUAGAGUGGGAUUGUACCACAACCCUUACCCAGGUCAGAUCCGUCAUUCAAUGUACAGGGAGUUUCCCUGGGGUGUGGUCUGCACCACUUUUUAUCUCUCAAGAAAUAAAAAGGAAAGGGAAACAUGCAGAGAGUUGGGAACCUCAUACCACCAAGAAAGAAGCACCAGGAGCAGAGUGCAUCCUUUGGACACGGGGUCCCUGUGCCUGAGAAGCUCUUCGACAAGGGGAAGAUCGAGGACAAGGACCUUCCUCCAGAGACAGCAGAGAGAGAAAGCCUUCCCCUGGAGCCAAUGCCCUGAAUUUAGACUUGUAACCUAUUAGACUGUGAGAAAAUAAAUUUCUCUUUUUUAAAGCCAUCCACUUGUGGUAUCUCUGUUAUGGGAGCACUAAAUGACUACGACACCUCCACUAUUCUCCUCUCUUCACUCCAUCAAAUCUUUCCCCUUUAAAAAAAGACCACUUAUCAGUUAUUUACACCUUAUUGUGAAUUUAACUUGCACAAUUUUUCUAGGGCUAUUUGGUUUUAAACCUUAUUCCUUCUGUAAAUCCAAUUUUGGUUGGUGGUACCA